rnacentral:rRNA from 1 species
GCAUGCGGCUGCUAUAAUGCAGUCGACGAGGUGCUUUGUAGCAAUACGAAGUAUCCUAGUGGCGAACGGGUGAGUAACGCGUUGGUGACCUACCCCAAAGUGUGGGAUAACAGUCCGAAAGGAUUGCUAAUACCGCAUGUGGUCUCUGGGUUUAGAAACCGGUGACUAAAGGAGCAAUUCGCUUUGGGAGGGACCUGCGUCCCAUCAGCUAGUUGGUGAGGUAACGGCUCACCAAGGCGACGACGGGUAGGGGACCUGAGAGGGUGGCCCCCCACAAUGGAACUGAAACACGGUCCAUACACCUACGGGUGGCAGCAGUAGGGAAUAUUGGUCAAUGGGCGAAAGCCUGAACCAGCAACGCCGCGUGUGCGAUGAAGGCCUUCGGGUCGUAAAGCACUUUUCUGGGAGAUGAGAAAGGACAGUAUCCCAGGAAUAAGUCUCGGCUAACUACGUGCCAGCAGCCGCGGUAAAACGUAGGAGGCGAGCGUUAUCCGGAUUCACUGGGCGUAAAGCGCGUGCAGGUGGCUUGGUAAGUUAGGCGUGAAAUCUCCCGGCUCAACUGGGAGAGGUCGUCUAAUACUACCGGGCUUGAGAGCAGAAGAGGAAGAUGGAAUUCCCGGUGUAGUGGUGAAAUGCGUAGAUAUCGGGAGGAACACCAGUGGCGAAGGCGAACUUCUGGUCUGUUUCUGACACUCAGACGCGACAGCUAGGGUAGUAAACGGGAUUAGAGACCCCGGUAAUCCUAGCCGUAAACGAUGUAAACUUGGCGUUGGUGGGUUAAACUCCAUCAGUGCCGCAGCAAACGCGAUAAGUUUACCGCCUGGGGACUACGGCCGCAAGGUUAAAACUCAAAGGAAUUGACGG